AUAGUUCUGGACCGCGAGUUGUCGGGAUCGGGAUGCUGCAUAAACGCGGCAACUGUGUCGGCGGUAAUUGACAGCUGCCGAAAAGCUGUCGGCGAUGCGGCCGAUCGCGGAGUGCACGCGAUAGCGAGAGAAGUAUUAGCGCUUGUGUACGUACGCGAGUUUCGAAAUCGGGAGUGAUAAGCCUGCGCGACGUGGAGAUAUCGUGGCGUCCAGUAGAUCGGAUGGGAUCAUCAACAUCUCUCGGCGGAGCGAAAGAGAGACUUUUUAAAGGCCCCGGGCGUGUUUACAGUUGCAUCGCGGGCGCUUGACCGUCGUGUGUUUCAUCGAUGCGCCGCGCAUUUAGCAUCCCCGACAGGGGCAAGAAUUUUACAAUUUGCCUCUUUGUAAAUCUGAUGAGCUUGAAAAGAGGAAAAGAAGAAGAUUGUGAAGAUACUUAGAAAGAGCAGCUAAAAGACACACGUCUUUCGGUAUCAUUGCGAACGAUAACAGCGAAACAGUGCAACAGUGAUCCAUUGGAAAACGCAAUCGCAAUAGUUUGGUCUCUCUGGCCUGCGAGAUAUGUGCCCGACGGCGCGAGGACGUGUAUGCGCCUCUUUCCGUCAACGCGUUGAACGACUUUCGGUUUUCCGGCGGUGUUAGCUCUCGAAGAGACAUGAACGUGGAACGACCGGCGAUGGACAGCGGCGGCGGCAGCGGCGGCGGCGGC